rnacentral:rRNA from 1 species
GAUACCCUAUUAUUCCAAUCGUUAAAUUAAACCCAGAGUAGUAAUAGAUAUGUACUUGAAACUCAAAGAAUUUGGCGGUGUUUUAGUCCUUUCAGAGGAACCUGUCCCAUAAUCGAUAAUCCACGUUUUACUUUACUUGAUUUUGAGUCAGCUUGUAUACCGCCGUCAUAAGAAUAUUCCUGGAGGUUAAUGUUCAAGAUUUUUUAUUAAAAAAUAUGUCAGGUCAAGGUGCAGCUUAUGAUCAAGUGGAGGUGGGUUACAUUAAGGAUUAGUUAAACGAAUCUGAUUUUGUAAAAAAUUGGUGAAGGUGGAUUUGAGUGUAAUAAAAUAAAGAUUAGUUUUAUGAUAGAGGCUCUAAAACAUGCACAC